UACAGAGGGGGCAAGCGUUGUUCGGAAUUACUGGGCGUAAAGGGCGCGUAGGCGGCCGCCUAAGUCAGACGUGAAAUCCCUCGGCUCAACCGGGGAACUGCGUCUGAUACUGGGUGGCUUGAGUUCGGGAGAGGGAUGCGGAAUUCCAGGUGUAGCGGUGAAAUGCGUAGAUAUCUGGAGGAACACCGGUGGCGAAGGCGGCAUCCUGGACCGACACUGACGCUGAGGAGCGAAAGCCAGGGGAGCAAACGGG
rnacentral:rRNA from 1 species